GCGCUUCAUAAUUUGCACUGCGUGUUUUUUGGCAUCUGCUAAACCAACGUUGGGUUCGGCGGACUAAAAAUGCUACACUGACGCGUUAAAACUAUUUUAGCGUGUGAAAUUUUUAUGCGCCCGUUGGAGAUGCUUUGAAGGGAGAUGCUCUUAAGAGAUAGAACCGGUCGGUUUGGGAUCGAUACGCACUCAGGAUACUUGUUCUCUAGAAGAACUGAAUGACACAUAAAAGCGCGCCGCCGCCCAAGUCUCCUCCUCUAUUGCAGUUGCAGCCUCCGGCUGGAUCCUCAGCCCACCGCCGCUUCGAUCCGGAAGCCAAUUUCUCUCCUUCUUCUGCGUUGGAGGGAUGCAGAUGCAGCGCUUGCAGGAACUAAAAUCAGAAUUACCUCCGGCGGGCAGUGGCUGCAGGUUCACAGCGAAUUCUUGGGAAGAUUACGCGGACGGACAUCCUCUGGUGCGGCACGGCCAUCAUCCCUCGCCUCCGUGGCGGCGCGACCUUCACCCCUCACCGCGGCCCCUCCUUGCUCUCCAAUGGACGUUGUGCGAGGCCCUGCUCCCUUUCCUCUCACGGCGGCACGACGCGCUCGACUCCCUCUGUCUCCUCGGUCAGCUCGCCCGUCAAACCCUGCCUCCGUCGAGCGGUGCAGGAGAACGAUCCCACCCGCGCACAAAAACGGCUCGCCCCACCUCUGUCUCUCCUGAAAACUACCUUUGGAACUGUGUAGGCUUCAGACUUGCAUAACAGGUACUUAUCAUAUACGUGUACGUGUCUUGCCUAGUAGCUCACUUUGGAACUGAAAGCUUGGUCAUCUGGAAGGAAGGUUCUACUCAGCUGUUGGACUAGUCAGAGGGAGUUCCUUUCAGUUCUACUCUGCUAAUUUUGCUAGUCUAAUUGAUGAUACCCUGUACACUGAAGCUUCAGUUAGUUUUUUCAGUUACAAGCUAGUCUUGGCUGGACCUAUGCCUUCUGAUAAGGGUGUUAUAUAUUCUGAUUUGAAAUAAAACAAACAACUCUAGCUGCUUUGAAAUUCUGUGUCCCCUUUUUUCUUAGUUUUUUGUAACUUAUAAGUACUUAACAACAUCCUUUAUUAUCAUCUGACAUAUGGAAGUAUUUGUAUUGUUUUUAAAGAUUUGUACCAUUGUCUUGAGCCAAGCAAAGAAGUGCAACAGUGCAUAUAUACUUGGAGACCAUGUACCUCCCUCCCCCAAUCUACAUAUUGUAACUAUUUUUCCCCUUGGUCUAUAUAGCUACCCUCUUCAAGUCUACAUACUAAUUAGCUGUUUUUUCCCUUGGAUACACCUUACCGAAAUAGGACAUUUCACCAUCUUAUGCCUAAUUUGUGUCUUAACCAAGAAAGGAAUUUGAAUGCCAAAUUGGCUUCUUUUUCAUUUUUGAAUUGUAUCACUGUUAGUUAUAAUUUGGUUCUAUUCUCUUACUCCCCAAGCUAGGGAGUUCUGCUUCAAAAUAUCAAGCAUGAAUGGUGCCUUCGUGUCGGGCGCCACUAAAAAAGGUCAGCUGAGUGAAAUUUUUUUAGGAGCAGUUCAUUUUAUGAAAUGAUUUCAUCCACGGGUUAAAAUUGUCAAAUUUGCCGUAUUUGCGACACGUGAAAGGACCAUGUUACUUUACGCCAAAUCACCAAUGCGUAUGAACUGAACUAUUAGUGAGGUUCUUUGUUUUUGGCAGGUGGGAAGGCCCUAUUGCGAAUUGCGAUGCUCUAACCAGGCAGAGGAGUGGGACAUGAUGAGCUUUGUGAAGGGAGAUGCUAGGAACUAAACUAGACAGACCAUCUUUAGUACAAAGUUGUACUAAAGCAACAACAAUUAAUAUGGGUCGGAGGGAGUAACACAAUCUUACUAUUACUUGUUGGAGGCCCCCAACGAAGCAUCUACAUUAAUCCUCAUGAGGCAUGCUAGGAAAAAAAGGCGCUGUGCUCUUUCCGCAGCGUACCGUCCAGCAGACGAGGGUGGUAAACGUGUUCCAGUGCUUCAGCCUUGAGGCGCUCCGCCGUGCUCAACCACCAGUUGGAGAGGCUCCCCGUCCCCAUGUUCUUCAUACCAUGCUGCAGUGAAGGGCAUGCGUGAGAAAUGGCAAGCUACCAGCAGGAAAAAGGGCGGCCAACCUCUUCUCUUGUCAAGCACAUCAGGAUUCAUAGGGGCAGUGGCGGAGCUACAUAGAAAUUUUUGGGCGGGCCAAGGUAAAGAAGAGCACAAUUUUUGGGCGGGAACUUCAAUUCUGACAUGAACAUGUGUGCUUGCAAAUAGGUGCAGGCACGACGGGUACCUCUGAAAAGCACCAAGCUGGUCGGCCAGUAUUUUCUGGAGUGUGUUGGGGAGCUCGAGAAGCAGCCUCUCCAUGGAGCAAAGCCGCGCAACAAGCACCAUGAAAAUAGCAAAAACAUAAUACCAAGUUUCAACACGCAACUUAAUAAAUAAUUGUGCUAACCAGGACGACGCCAUAUUUUCUUUGUUUCUUGAACUCUGUUGGUGUACUUGAGCACAUAUGUGCGUACUUUUACACCCAAUAAAUUAUGGAAAUAAUAAAAACGUUCAUACUGUCACGCUUUUGUGUAACCUCAUGAUAUCUUGACCUUUGUUGGUGUACUUGAGCAUA